rnacentral:lncRNA from 1 species
AACUUCUCUUUGUGACUGACAAGGGAAUCAAGACUGAUGAACCAUAUGAUAUAACCUGCAAUUAUGAGAGGGAAAAGAAAGUCCAAAUAAAACAUAUAAUACGAAAAACGUGGAUUGUAAGCAUGCACUAAUACAGGUAACAAAGGGAAUCAGAUCCAAGGAAGAGCUAUUACCUAUAUACUUGCAAGACAUUUUAAAGGCUACCGUCUCAUGCUAAAACGAUGCACUUGAACUUUACAUGCUUGUAAUAAGGCAAACCACGCGCUGGAACUAAAUGGAAUAGACAAAUUUAAGCAAAAAGGGAAUGCAUAAGACGGAGCAGGGAGGAGGAACACCAUCAAGCAAUUGAGUUGAACACACAUUUUAGUGUAAAAGGUUGAAACCCUACCAAUAGAAUGGUUAGUUAACAACUUUACUGUCUAUUCUCUCUAGAAGCAAGCUUACAACUCUACAUUCCUAAUUUCUCAUUACAAACUAUGGAACCAAGAUCUAGUAGUUUUUUAACUCCAAGCCGACAAAAACAU